rnacentral:rRNA from 1 species
UGAGGGGGGCUGCUCCUAGUACGAGAGGACCGGAGUGGACGCAUCACUGGUGUUCGGGUUGUCAUGCCAAUGGCACUGCCCGGUAGCUAAAUGCGGAAGAGAUAAGUGCUGAAAGCAUCUAAGCACGAAACUUGCCCCGAGAUGAGUUCUCCCUGACUCCUUGAGAGUCCUGAAGGAACGUUGAAGACGACGACGUUGAUAGGCCGGGUGUGUAAGCGCAGCGAUGCGUUGAGCUAACCGGUACUAAUGAACCGUGGGGCUUAACCUUACAACGCCGAAGGUGUUU